rnacentral:rRNA from 1 species
AUUGAACGCUGGCGGCAGGCCUAACACAUGCAAGUCGAGCGGAUGAGAGGAGCUUGCUUCUCGAUUCAGCGGCGGACGGGUGAGUAAUGCCUAGGAAUCUGCCUGGUAGUGGGGGACAACGUUUCGAAAGGAACGCUAAUACCGCAUACGUCCUACGGGAGAAAGCAGGGGACCUUCGGGCCUUGCGCUAUCAGAUGAGCCUAGGUCGGAUUAGCUAGUUGGUGAGGUAAUGGCUCACCAAGGCGACGAUCCGUAACUGGUCUGAGAGGAUGGUCAGUCACACUGGAACUGAGACACGGUCCAGACUCCUACGGGAGGCAGCAGUGGGGAAUAGUGGACAAUGGGCGAAAGCCUGAUCCAGCCAUGCCGCGUGUGUGAAGAAGGUCUUCGGAUUGUAAAGCACUUUAAGUUGGGAGGAAGGGUUGUAGAUUAAUACUCUGCAAUUUUGACGUUACCGACAGAAUAAGCACCGGCUAACUCUGUGCCAGCCGCCGCAGUAAAAC